rnacentral:rRNA from 1 species
UGAACGCUGGCGGCGUGCCUAAUACAUGCAAGUCGAGCGAACAGACGAGGAGCUUGCUCCUCUGACGUUAGCGGCGGACGGGUGAGUAACACGUGGAUAACCUACCUAUAAGACUGGGAUAACUUCGGGAAACCGGAGCUAAUACCGGAUAAUAUAUUGAACCGCAUGGUUCACUAGUGAAAGACGGUUUUGCUGUCACUUAUAGAUGGAUCCGCGCCGCAUUAGCUAGUUGGUAAGGUAACGGCUUACCAAGGCAACGAUGCGUAGCCGACCUGAGAGGGUGAUCGGCCACACUGGAACUGAGACACGGUCCAGACUCCUACGGGAGGUAGCAGUAGGGAAUCUUCCGCAAUGGGCGAAAGCUUGACGGAGCAACGCCGCGUGAGUGAUGAAGGUCUUCGGAUCGUAAAACUCUGUUAUUAGGGAAGAACAAAUGUGUAAGUAACUAUGCACGUCUUGACGGUACCUAAUCAGAAAGCCACGGCUAACUACGUG